rnacentral:lncRNA from 1 species
GAAAAUGAUGUAACACAACAACUUUCAAACAAAAAAACUAAAUCAAUCCAGCAUGGUUUCGGCUGCUAUCACGUGCUACCUGGUAAGUCUCUAGCGCAUCAUACAAAAGAUGUGAAAUCAAGAGGGAAUAUUUUUUUUUUUGUUUUGUUCACUAUUCUGGUUUGGAGUUUGGUUUUGACAUCUGACCGAGAUACGGAAGAAUGAAGCUCCUGACUAGGUAUUUUUAAUUAACAAGUGGUUCCAAC